rnacentral:sRNA from 2 species
CUCCGGGGGCAAGAGGUUCGACUCGAGCGACGCGAGAGAACGUUGCGUCAGCAACGGCCCGCAGGGCGAGUCACGCAGUGGCGAGUCAUCCUCUCCUGGCCUGCU